rnacentral:rRNA from 1 species
UACGGGAGGCAGCAGUGAGGAAUAUUGCGCAAUGGGGGCAACCCUGACGCAGCAACGCCGCGUGAGUGAGGAAGGUUUUCGGACCGUAAAGCUCUGUCGAGCUGGAAGAAAUGCAUGGUGGCUAAUAUCCAUCAUGCUUGACGGUACCGCUAAAGGAAGCACCGGCUAACUCCGUGCCAGCAGCCGCGGUAAUACGGGGGGUGCGAGCGUUGUUCGGAAUUAUUGGGCGUAAAGAGCGUGUAGGCGGCUGGAUCAGUCAGAUGUGAAAUCCCUGGGCUUAACCCAGGACGUGCAUUUGAAACUGUCCGGCUGGAGUAGGGGAGAGGAAAGUGGAAUUCCUGGUGUAGAGGUGAAAUUCGUAGAUAUCAGGAGGAACACCGGUGGCGAAGGCGACUUUCUGGCCCUAUACUGACGCUGAGACGCGAGAGCGUGGGUAGCAAACAGGAUUAGAUACCCUG